UGAACUGCAGCAGUUUCUGGGAACAGGACAAAUAUUAGGUCACAGGACAAGUAAAACAUUUGAAGAAUUUUUAAAAGCCAAUCGAUACAUACUUAAGAGAGUGCAGGCUGCCUGAGAUAAGGUCACUGCAAAAAAAAAAACUGUUCCAUUAAAAACAUAUGUUUACUAAAAGGAGUGUCCUUAAUGGGGCUUGGGAGAAGUCAGAGAGCACCGAUUAGUGGGAUGGUGCAGAUAAGCAUUGCAGUUGGAGGCCGAGGUCUGAGGGCAUCAGUUGCCAGCUCUACCAAAAACCAAACAAGAAGCCAAACAACAAGCCCAACAAACUGGCUUCUGAGCAGGUGCGAAUCCUUCCCAUGCCGACCGCUGCCAACUGUCUGCAAUGCCAAGGUGGAGCUGUGCCCCUUAACAGUUUAUUUCCCCUUCACCUUCUGCUUUGCAGUAAGUAGGUUACGCCACAGCUCCUCUCAUAGCUGACGAAGACCCUGGCAGACCCAGGCUUAUCCCCGCCCCCACCCAGUGUUAGAAGACCACCCCAGCCCCGAACCCCUCCCAGCGUUCUCGGUAACCUGGAUCCAUGGGUUCAGCUGUGCCAGGGUAAUUCUGGGAUGCCCCAAGGCCCUCCCUGCUGCUCCCACCCACAGACAGUUGUCCUACGUGCUUCUACACAAUUAGUCGGCGCAAUGGGGUCCUCACACAAGGAGGAGGGGCUGCCCCCGGAUCCCAUUAUUAUCAUUAUCACUGUCAUUAGAGCAGCACUGGACCAUAAAGAAGUGUCACCGCACAGACUCAAGCCUGGGAGCUGCACAAGGCUGAAGAGGAGGAGGAAUCACAAUGGCUGACUUAGAACCAUCAUCUGUCUCUUAGACAUUGGCGUAGCCUUUGAAGGAGGACAUCUCCAAGCUGGCUGUGCGGUCCGCUGCCCAGUGAGUCCCUCGGACACCCUUCUGGCCUUGUUUAAGAUUGUGCCCUCCCCUGCCUGCACCAGCACUCCCAUCCCCUUUCUUGGUUUUGUUAUUCUUUUUCGUAGCUCUGAUCACUAAUUGAACAUACCAUUUCAUUUUCAAUUUUUUAUACUAUCCGUGUUUCUCCAUGUAGGGGUUGAACAGAGUUCCCCAAAUUAACCUCACCCCCAAUCUCUGAAUGUCUUCUUAGUUAGAAAUAGAGUCUUGGCAAACACAGCUGGUUCUAGAUCUCAAGAUGAAACCAUCCUAGACUUAAAAGUCAGCGAUGACUGGUGUCUGUCUAGGAGAAAGGAAAGAGGGACAGGAAGACAGAAGGAGAGAGAGAAACAGAGAGACCGCAUGAUCCACACACAUGCAGGGAAGGAGGUCAUGUGAGACUGAGGCAGAGAUGGAGUAAUUCUGCCACAAGCCAAGAAACACCAGGAGCCAGCAGAAGCUGGGACAAGUGAGGACGGGGUCAUUCCCCAGAGGCGUCAAAAGGAAGACUCUGCUGACUUGUGGCCUCCAGCCCCAUGCAAGACAAAUCUGUGUCGUUUCAAGCCACCGGUUUUGUGACAAUUUGUUAGGGCAGUCUCAGGAAACUAAAACACCCAGUCACCACAGGAGAAGACCUCAAAACAGCCACAGGAGCUGCUUGAAAAUCUUCCAGCUGUCACCGUAGAAGAAGCAUGUAGAAGAGAAUGUGGGGCAAAUAUUAAACUUUCGAAAUUAAAUGGGAGGGGCAUCCAGGUUCCUCAUAGCUAGCACGCCUGGGCUCUAUCGACGGAGGGCAGAACACAGUAGGAUGGGACUCUAACAGGUGAGGCCUAUUUUGCAUGGCCCAUUUCCUGGAGAGGACCCAGCCCUGAGUCCAGCAUGUGACUGAGACCAAAGCAAGCAGAGUUCCACAACUGGAAAGGUGGAGAAGCAUGCGACAUUUGGAAAAAUGGCCACGAAGUAGAUGACUCGGGAAGAGAGAUGGCAAGGUCCAUGUAGACAAGAAAGAACUGCAUCUCUAGCCCUGAGCACUGGGUGAGCACAUCACAGGUACCUGAUAAACACUGUGAUUGGAUGUAUGAAUGAAUGAAUAUUGGCCACCAACAGGCCCGCCUUCCUACUUAGCACAUGAUUCUCUUGAAGCCAAGAAUGGCAUCUGAUUUCUCUCGGCACCUAAGCUAUCUCAAUUCCCACAUGGGACUCUUGGUAUGUAUUCAACAAAUAUUUGUUGAAAUUAAAUAAGUUGAAUUUUGUGGGCUGGCAUGGGGCUCAAUCUUUAAUUUAUGACAUUGUUUCUACGGGAAAAUGCAUUCCAUGUGCCAAAUAAACUUGCAAAUGAACUUUUGGAACCUCAGCCGUUCAUUGGUUUGGGAUUGCCAGUUUUGUGGAAAUCCAUAACUGAACACAUGUGCUACGCUUUGCAAUAUGGGAGAAACUGAGAAACUGCUUCCAAACCCAAGAUAUUCAGCCUGCAAAAAUUCACUUUCCGCCCACACACAUGAAUUCAGCACAGGUUGGAUUUGAGGUUCCCACAAUAAAAUACUAGACUUUUUAGA